ACGCUGGCGGCAGGCCUAACACAUGCAAGUCGAGCGGAAACGACUUAACUGAACCUUCGGGGRACGUUAAGGGCGUCGAGCGGCGGACGGGUGAGUAAUGCCUGGGAAUAUGCCUUAGUGUGGGGGAUAACUAUUGGAAACGAUAGCUAAUACCGCAUAAUGUCUUCGGACCAAAGAGGGGGACCUUCGGGCCUCUCGCGCUAAGAUUAGCCCAGGUGAGAUUAGCUAGUUGGUGAGGUAAGAGCUCACCAAGGCGACGAUCUCUAGCUGGUCUGAGAGGAUGAUCAGCCACACUGGAACUGAGACACGGUCCAGACUCCUACGGGAGGCAGCAGUGGGGAAUAUUGCACAAUGGGCGAAAGCCUGAUGCAGCCAUGCCGCGUGUAUGAAGAAGGCCUUCGGGUUGUAAAGUACUUUCAGUAGGGAGGAAGGUGUUGUAGUUAAUAGCUGCAGCAUUUGACGUUACCUACAGAAGAAGCACCGGCUAACUCCGUGCCAGCAGCCGCGGUAAUACGGAGGGUGCGAGCGUUAAUCGGAAUUACUGGGCGUAAAGCGCAUGCAGGUGGUUCAUUAAGUCAGAUGUGAAAGCCCGGGGCUCAACCUCGGAACCGCAUUUGAAACUGGUGAACUAGAGUGCUGUAGAGGGGGGUAGAAUUUCAGGUGUAGCGGUGAAAUGCGUAGAGAUCUGAAGGAAUACCAGUGGCGAAGGCGGCCCCCUGGACA
rnacentral:rRNA from 1 species